rnacentral:lncRNA from 1 species
GGAAGGGAGAGAGUGAGGAAGGGGAAGAGGCCCCUGCCCAGUAUGCAGCCAGGAACAGCAAGGAAUGGAGCGACUUAUAUUCGGAUUAUUGCAAAAAUAUCGUCAAGCCUCAAUAUGCAGCCUACUAUUACGCCAAUAUGUCCACGGGAACAUUGCGCUGUAUUACCAACUGCACCAAGGGAACAAAGACCUCCUGGAACUGCCACUAUGGAGAGUGUCGCAUUCGUGAAACAGGCCCCGAGUGCUUGUGCAGUGAUAUGGACAAGUUUUGGUACACAGGAGAUUUUUGCGAGACACGCUUCCAGAAGAGUGAGGUGGGCCUUGGUAUUGGGCUCGCCAUCUUGUUUGUGACCAGUGCUGUCCUGGCUUUCUUCCUCUUCAGAGCCAUGAGGAAGAAAUCUAAAGAGAGCUUCCUUGACGGAGAGGAGCUCUGGUACGUGGAGGAUGAAGAGGAAGAGUGGAAGCCUUCCUCAGGCCUGAGCAUCGUGAAUAAAGCAGCCUGCGAGGGUGGACUUGAAGGCAGAAAACAGGUGUUCAGACCAACUCUUGAUGCAGUAGAUACUGAAAUGCAGGUAUGUACAGCUAUAGUUUCAUCUUGGGCAGAUUUCUUUCGGUUAUCGUCUCCUGAGAUCAAUCGA